rnacentral:rRNA from 1 species
UACGAAGGGGGCUAGCGUUGCUCGGAAUCACUGGGCGUAAAGGGCGCGUAGGCGGCCAUUCAAGUCGGAGGUGAAAGCCCAGGGCUCAACCCUGGAAUUGCCUUCGAUACUGUUUGGCUAGAGACCGGAAGAGGUAAGUGGAACUGCGAGUGUAGAGGUGAAAUUCGUAGAUAUACACAAGAACACCAGUGGCGAAGGCGAUCUUCUGGCUAUUACCUGACGCUAAGGCUCGAAAGCGUGGGGAGCAAACAGG